rnacentral:tmRNA from 1 species
UGGACAAUGAAAUAAACCUAUUGGACCCGGGGGCAGUACCCGGCGCCUCCACCAAAAUAUAAUCUUCAAUGCGUUAUAUUUUGGUGGGGGCGAACUAGGAUCGACGAGGGUGUAAAGAUUGCUCUUUUACUCGGCAUUGUACCACCGUUAUCGGGCUAAAUGAGUAGUUGCAAAUGACAACUAUGCGGAAGCACGUCUCGCCGCUUAAAUGUGGUGCGAAAGCUUCAAAUUAAGUCUUAAGCCGUCGCAGGUUUAAGCGGGGUUCGGAGGCACCUGGGAACAGAAGC